UGCGUAGGGUGCGAGCGUUGUCCGGAAUUAUUGGGCGUAAAGGGCUCGUAGGCGGUUUGUCGCGUCGGGAGUGAAAACACUGGGCUUAACUCAGUGCUUGCUUCCGAUACGGGCAGACUAGAGGUAUUCAGGGGAGAACGGAAUUCCUGGUGUAGCGGUGAAAUGACGUAGAGAUCAGCAGGAAUACCCGUGGCGAAGGCGGCCCCCUGGGCCGAACCUGACGCUGAGGCGCGAAGGCUAGGGGAGCGAACGGG
rnacentral:rRNA from 1 species